UCGUCUCCAUCCUCUUCCUUGACCUUCUCUCACGGGUUAGGGUUCGAUAGUUUUUUUAUUCGUAUGCCUGGAUGGCCGGAUCCGGUUCUUGACUCAUGAUUUUCAUGCCUAGCGGGCCGAAUCCAGUUCUUGAUUCAUGACUAGAAUGGCUGGAUAUUUCGAUUUGGUUUUCUUGUUGAUUAUUGUGGAGCGGACAUGUGCUGGUGAGCUGGCCAUUGGUUCGUGCUCUAGAUCAGAGUUGUUGAUGUCAUCACACGUUUCGCAUAGUAGUUGAUUUGGUUUUCUUGUUGAUUAUUGUGGAGCGGACAUGUGCUGGUGAGCUGGCCAUUGGUUCGUGCUCUAGAUCAGAGUAGUUGAUGUCAUCACCCAUCCUCUAAUGGGCAGGAAUUUUCUUUGCACUGUGCUAAACGGGCCAAAGUUCAUGGUCGUAUAAUCUUGCUCUGUGCUUGAGAUUCUGAAGAAGAUCUUGGAUCUUGGUUAGAUAGCAAAGAUCGAUGACCCUGGUUAAGUACUGUACUUUCUUCACUGAAUGUAUGUUGUGCCUUGCCAAAUAUAUGGAUCUCCUUUUUUUUCUUUUGAUCACUCAGAAUGUGAGGGACUGAUAGCUAAAAGUAGCUGCAUUAGAAAACCUAGAAUUUAAAUUAGUUGUAAGCUAAUUUUACAUGUACAUCUAAUUAUCUGAUUUCAUGUAGUUUGCAUGCUGCCUAAUAUUUGUCUUGCUAUUUCCCCCGCAAAUUUUUUUUUGUCUUGCUAUAGUUGAGCUGUUUAUAUGAGUAACAAACAGAAGAGUUGUCUUGCAGCCUGCUUGUUGUAUGGAUAAAUAAAGUCAAGACUAGGCAGUCAGUAGUACAUGUAAAAUUAGCUCACAGCUGCAGCUCUUAUUAACCUUCCCCGUAAUUGACUGGGCCCUCGCCGGACGCUGUCGCAUCACAAACUAUGUAGUCUCAUUUUGCUUUUAUUACAGUAGGUCCUAAAAGCCACAGCCCAACAUUGUUUCAGAUUUCUAUUGAUUUUGCUAAAGGGGACGUCGAUGUCCAGAUUACCAAAUUCACAAGCCUUGUGCCAAUCGACUUGAAGUUCGGAGCCUCACUAAUCAUACUAAAUGUUUGUGCCUAUAUAUGUUGAUAUAGAUUGUGGAGAGGCAUGCUAGGAACACUUGAAGGUGCGUACCACUACGUGUGCCCUACUGUAUUAUUACACGGUUAUCACUUGAAGCUUUGCUCUUGCUUCGUCUACGCCCGUGUGAUGACCAACUUAACCAUGCCGUGCAGCCUCCUCAGCUACGAAUCUCUUGUGCUCUGUAUUAAAGGUUGACUUCAUACCAAACUUUGAUAACUCACAGAGGGAGCCAUCUCUGCUGCUGGCUCGUGUUCCAUCUCUAUUGUUGAAUGGUUCUUCUGGGAUUGCGGUCGAAAUGGCAACAAACAUUCCUCCUCACAAUCUGGGAGAGUUUGUUGAUGCACUUUCUGUUAUAAUUCAAAAGCCUGAAGCCACAAAUCUAUGGAAUUAUUUUGGUGAUUGUUAAAGUAACAUUGGCAGAACCACCCAGCGGCUGAGGUUGCUGCUCUGCCGCCGCCGGCCACCACCGACACCGAGGAGGAUCGCGCAGCGGCCGCCACACCAGCCGUAGGAAGAUUGAAAAAUAGCAGACUAAAGUAGAGAAAUGGUUUGAGGUAAAUAGAACUGUCUUAAUGUUGGUAAAUUCACAAUUUCCCUAAAUUUUCCUACAGAAAUUUGUAUUUUUCAGAUAUGUGGCAUAACGAUGCCUAACAUCAAACAGGGGAUGUUCUAAUACAUAAUUUUGCUUACUAUGAGAAGAAGGUUUCAAUAUAUUUACAAACUAAUUGAUCAGUCCUUCAGAGGCUUCCAGGUUCAGCCGUGGUCAUCACGAGUACAAGCUGAUAAGAGCAACAACCGUAUGGAGCAUUGCAGAUUUGGAGAGGAAGGUUGUUUGUUCUUCCUGCCAUUCCAAGAAGAUCCGGAGAGGAAGGCUGAGGUGCUCGAGAAGAAAAUAUUUCUACUUUGGGGCCAUGUAAAUCACAGAAUCAAGUUAGCAUAAAUUAUUGGGAGCUCAUGGUUCUUUUUUGGACUAAUUUCAGGUUUCCACACUGAUACAACAUGAUUGACUAAUUUCAGGUUUGAUUUGGUUAUUCUAUUCUCUUCUCGAUUUAAUGAAUGCUUUAAUAUUUUCUGCUAAUUAAAGAUGGGUUGUGAUUGAUCCAGGAAGAGUAUUAGUGAUGGGUUUAAAUACUAAGACCUUAGCUAUCUCUAUAUAAAUGGAGGUUUUUUUCAUUCAUUAAGUUCAGCUUUUUUAUUGCUGUAUGUACCAAGCUGAAUGCCAUACAUGAGCUCCAAUAUGUCUGUUCUAAGAAAUUUACCUGAUAAUACUAUAUGCCAAUAUCAAGUUAUUUUUGGUACAGUCAAGGACACAGUUAGAAUGCUUGCAUGGUAGAGCUGACGUGUUCAGGCAAUAUGGCUACAAUGCAGUCCUUAUGCAAUCUGAUUCUGUCAAGUAUGCUCUUAUGCAACAUGUGAUUUUUUUUUUUUUGCUUCUGCGUCCAUUUGGCGAGAGUUUAUCUAAAUGCCUAAAGCAUGGACUUUACAAUCCACUUAAAGCAAGAUCAAAGUAUUGCAGAUGCGAUAUACAUCACUAACAGUGUUUCAUUCUCCUUUAUUGAUACAAAAUUUGGUUACAAAAUUUUGACAUCUCUAACAGCAGAAGGCACUGUAAGAUCCCAGAACAAGACGCUCAAGAAACAGGAUCGGCGGCAGCAAGGACACGAGGGCCGGAGGGGAGGAGCAACCAGAUGGAGGUGCGUGGUCAAGCAAUCCCCUUUAGUUCAUGACCGCAGGCUAGGCAUCCGAACAAACUGAGCUGUAAAUGUGUAAAGGGUAGCCUAGACAAUCCUGUAAUUGUGUUUGAUGGGAUGGCUUGUCCAAAGUUAAACGAAAGAAUCAAUAUUGUUGUCUCUUCGUAAUCGCAUUGAAUCGUCUC